UACGGAGGGAGCUAGCGUUGUUCGGAAUUACUGGGCGUAAAGCGUGCGCAGGCGGCUUCUCAAGUCAGGGGUGAAAGCCCAGAGCUCAACUCUGGAACUGCCUUUGAGACUGAGAGGCUUGAGUACGGGAGAGGUGAGUGGAAUUCCCAGUGUAGAGGUGAAAUUCGUAGAUAUUGGGAAGAACACCGGUGGCGAAGGCGGCUCACUGGCCCGUAACUGACGCUCAUGCACGACAGCGUGGGGAUCAAACAGG
rnacentral:rRNA from 1 species